GUGCUCGCUUCGGCAGCACAUAUACUAAAAUUGGAACGAUACAGAGAAGAUUAGCAUGGCCCCUGCGCAAAUAACAGUGGAGAAGCCAGAUGGUUGAAAGAUAGAU